UAUUAUUUAAAAUGUAAAUAUUAAUACUUAAGUAGUAAUAGUUAUGUUCUUGAAACUUAAAAAAUUUGGCGGUAUUUUAGUCUAUCCAGAGGAACCUGUUUUGUAAUCGAUAAUCCACGAUGGACCUUACUUAAGUUUGUAACCAGUUUAUAUACCGUCGUUAUCAGAAUAUUUUAUAAGAAUAAUAAUAUUCAAUAAUUUUAAAAAGAAUUUAUAUCAGAUCAAGGUGUAGCUUAUAUUUAAGUAAUAAUGGGUUACAAUAAAUUUAUUUAAACGGAUAAAAUUAUGAAAAAAUUUUUGAAGGUGGAUUUGGUUGUAAAAUUAUAAAGAUUAAUAAUUUGAUUUUAGCUCUAAAAUAUGUACACAUCGCCCGUCGCUCUUAUUAUUAAGGUAAGAUAAGUCGUAACAUAGUAGAUGUACUGGAAAGUGUAUCUAGAAUGA
rnacentral:rRNA from 1 species